rnacentral:rRNA from 1 species
GAUGAACGCUGGCGGCGUGCCUAAUACAUGCAAGUCGAGCGAACGGACGAGAAGCUUGCUUCUCUGAUGUUAGCGGCGGACGGGUGAGUAACACGUGGAUAACCUACCUAUAAGACUGGGAUAACUUCGGGAAACCGGAGCUAAUACCGGAUGAUAUUUUGACCCGCAUGGUUCCAAAGUGAAAGACGGUCUUGCUGUCACUUAUAGCUGGAUCCCCGCUUCAUUCGCUAGCUGUUAAGGUAACGACUUACCAAGGCAACGAUGCAUAGCCGGCCUGACAUCGCUAUUUGCGUCUCAUGAAGUGAGACGCCGUUCAGACUCCUACGGUAGACAGCCAUAGUAGUUCUUCCGCAAUGGUCCAAAGCCUCGCGGAGCAACACCGCGGCAGUGAUAAAGGCCUUACGAGCGUAAAACCCUGUUAUUAGGGAAGAACAUAUGUGUACGUAACUGUGAACAUCUUGACGGUACCUAAUCAGAAAGCCACGGCUAACUACGUG